GGAUGAACGCUGGCGGCGUGCUUAACACAUGCAAGUCGAACGAUGAAGCUCAGCUUGCUGGGUGGAUUAGUGGCGAACGGGUGAGUAACACGUGAGUAACCUGCCCUUAACUCUGGGAUAAGCCUGGGAAACUAGGUCUAAUACCGGAUAGGAGCGUCCACCGCAUGGUGGGUGUUGGAAAGAUUUAUCGGUUUUGGAUGGACUCGCGGCCUAUCAGCUUGUUGGUGAGGUAAUGGCUCACCAAGGCGACGACGGGUAGCCGGCCUGAGAGGGUGACCGGCCACACUGGGACUGAGACACGGCCCAGACUCCUACGGGAGGCAGCAGUGGGGAAUAUUGCACAAUGGGCGCAAGCCUGAUGCAGCGACGCCGCGUGAGGGAUGACGGCCUUCGGGUUGUAAACCUCUUUCAGUAGGGAAGAAGCGAAAGUGACGGUACCUGCAGAAGAAGCACCGGCUAACUACGUGCCAGCAGCCGCGGUAAUACGUAGGGUGCGAGCGUUAUCCGGAAUUAUUGGGCGUAAAGAGCUCGUAGGCGGUUUGUCGCGUCUGUCGUGAAAGUCCGGGGCUUAACCCCGGAUCUGCGGUGGGUACGGGCAGACUAGAGUGCAGUAGGGGAGACUGGAAUUCCUGGUGUAGCGGUGGAAUGCGCAGAUAUCAGGAGGAACACCGAUGGCGAAGGCAGGUCUCUGGGCUGUAACUA
rnacentral:rRNA from 1 species